UACGGAGGGGGCUAGCGUUGUUCGGAAUUACUGGGCGUAAAGAGCGCGCAGGCGGUCGUUCAAGUCGCGUGUGAAAGCCCCCGGCUCAACUGGGGAGGGUCACGCGAUACUGAUCGACUGGAAGGCAGGAGAGGGUAGUGGAAUUCCCGGUGUAGUGGUGAAAUGCGUAGAUAUCGGGAGGAACACCAGUGGCGAAGGCGGCAUCCUGGACCGGUAUUGACGCUGAGGCGCGAAAGCCAGGGGAGCAAACAGG
rnacentral:rRNA from 1 species